rnacentral:rRNA from 1 species
ACAUACGACCAUAGCUGCUAGAUCACUCACGAUCCCGUCUGAUCUCGUACGAUAAGCUAGCGAGCGCCGGAUUAGUAGUUGGGUCGGUGACGACCAGCGAAUACCGGUGUUGUAUGUU